UUAAUACUCCCUCCGUCUAGAAUUACUUGUCGAAGAAACCGAUGUAUCUAAACGUAUUUUAGUCAUAGACAUAUCAAUUUUUAUCCAAUUAUGCGACAAGUAAUUCCGGACGAAGUGUGUACAUA
rnacentral:pre_miRNA from 1 species